CAGAAACUACAAAGGAAUUGACGGGGCCCGCACAAGCGGUGGAGUAUGUGGUUUAAUUCGAUGCAACGCGAAGAACCUUACCUGGUCUUGACAUCCCGGAGACCCUUAGGAAACUAGGGGGUGCUUCCAUCUGGAAGAAUCUGGAGACAGGUGCUGCAUGGCUGUCGUCAGCUCGUGUCGUGAGAUGUUGGGUUAAGUCCCGCAACGAGCGCAACCCUUGCCUUUAGUUGCCAUCAGGUUAAGCUGGGGACUCUAAAGGAACUGCCUACGCAAGUAGUGAGGAAGGCGGGGAUGACGUCAAAUCAGCACGGCCCUUACGUCCAGGGCUACACACGUGCUACAAUGGCCGAUACAGAGGGCAGCUACCUGGUGACAGGAUGCAAAUCUCCAAAGUCGGUCUCAGUUCGGAUCGGAGUCUGCAACCCGACUCCGUGAAGUUGGAUUCGCUAGUAAUCGCGCAUCAGCCAUGGCGCGGUGAAUACGUUCCCGGGCCUU
rnacentral:rRNA from 1 species